AAAAAGGGCUUCUGUCGUGAGUGGCGCACGUAGGGCAGCUCUGUUUGCUCUUCGUUGGAAUCCACGUCAACAGAUUUUGGAAGCAUCGUUUUUUUAUAUUGGGGCAGCUGAUGAUCGCUGGUCCUGGCGCCCAA